rnacentral:snRNA from 1 species
CUUAGGCCCAGGAGGGGG